GCAAGCCCAGGAUACAGGCAUUUCUCCCUUUCUACCCGACUAAAGUUCUGCACAGGAAUCACUGAAAACUGAAGUUGAUGCCUUUUAGGAUACUUGAUGGUUGAAAAUAGCAUCUGAAAACAGUUGAAACAGAAUGGAGAGCAGUGCCACGUGUUAAAAUCCAG